rnacentral:rRNA from 1 species
GACGAACGCUGGCGGCGUGCCUAAUACAUGCAAGUAGGACGCAGUUGCGAACGGGUGAGUAACGCGUAGGUAACUACCUAUUAGAGGGGGAUAACUAUUGGAAACGAUAGCUAAUACCGCAUACUAGUAGAUGGAACUGCGUUGUAUUAGCUAGUAGGUAGGGUAAUGGCCUACCUAGGCAACGAUACAUAGGCGACCGGAGAGGGUGAUCGGCGACAGUGGGAAGGGGACACGGCACAGACUCCUACGGGAGGAAGAAGUAGGGAAUCUUCGGAAAUGGGGGGAACCCUGACCGAGCAACGCCGCGUGAGUGAAGAAGGUUUUCGGAUCGUAAAGCUCUGUUGGUAAGGAAGCGGUACUUAACCAGAAAGGGACGGCUAACUACGUGCCAGCAGCCGCGGUAAUUC